CUCAAGUCGGACUUCGUACUUCCGCCUUAGCGUGCACGGUGAGCUGGGCGCGGCUCAGUGGGGGUGUGGGAAGGCCCAGCGAGGGUGUCACCCUCCCUCAGGCCACAGCACUCCCAGCUGGGAGCACAGAAGCCCAGAGGAGGGAGGAAGACAGAGGCGCGAAGACUCCUGGGUUCGCUCCUGCCUUGUCCUGAUUUCUGCAAAUCCGUCCCCUACACUCAGCACACUGACCAACCAGCUGGUCUCUGGAGCAGCUGGCAUGAGUGUGUCCUAAGAACACACAUUCUCAUCAUUGUCUCCUUUGUCCAUUGAGUGCCAACCAGGAGCCAUCUCUGUACCAGAUGCUGAGAGUUCAGCGUUGAGCAAAACUCACCUGUGAAAACUCGCUAUGAGAACACGCUGUAAGGGAAAGGAGGAGGGGCAUGGAAGCCUUCACGGAGGAAGCGACAACAGAGCUGCUCUCUAAGGGAAGAGUAAGGGAAAGUGCGUUUCAGGCAUAGGGAAUAUCAGGUGCAAAGGCACUGAGGCAGAAAUUGGCUCCAUGGAAACCAGUCCAGUGUGACAGGAGCAGAUUGUGAGGAAUGGGUGAGAGAGGUUGGAGGUGAGGGUCAAGGUAAAUGGAGCCCAGGCGGGACGGCUGCUACCAUGAGAAGCCCCUACUUGACCCUAAGGGCAAACACCUUCAUUGUGCCAUCACGCUCCGGGCUUCGUGCAAACACCUUUCACUUAUGGUGUCAACGCAUUUCUCCUCAUGACAACUGUCGGGGUGGGUGUUAUGAUCCCCAUUUCAUAGAUGAGGAAAGAGCCUUCUCAGCUUUGCAUAGCUGGCAAGUAGGAGGAGGGGAGUCGAACCCCAGGAGCCUCGCUCGGCGGCCCGGCCCUCACCCCACCUCAGCGUCACUCAUGGGAACAAGGCAGGGCCCCUGGGGGCUCAGCGCAGGGAGGCAACCCGCCCAGUCUGUGACCAUCAAGCACACUCUGGCCGCCAGGUGGGAGCGAUGAAGGGCCGAGACAACGUGCAGGGACCCGGAGGUGGCUGAUCAGGCGAGAUGGAAGGACAACGCUGUCGAGGCGCCACAGACAAGCUAGUUCCCACCCCAUGGAUUGGGGCAGUGGUUCCUUCUGCCAGGACCCCAUUCUUCUGGUCCCCACCACUCACCCCUGCUCAUCCUUCGUGCCUCAGCCCCAAGCGGGGGGACCUCAAGGACAAAUGGGAGACCCUGUGACCCCGAAGGGCUCCAGAAGCCAUCUUGUUGCCAACCAUGUGAGAAGCUGAUCGUCCCAGGAGAUAAAAACCAAAAUUGCGCAGGACUUUCCUUUUUCCCUGAACGAGGAGCAGCAAACACACAGCAGUGUGACAAGAUCUUAAGUAAAAGAUAAAGUGGAAAUGACAGCUGAGCUAUAAGCAGAUGAAGGCCGGAUUGUCACCAAUCUGUAAUCAGGAACCCCUAAGUUGGGCACAGGUCAUUUUGGUUCAAUUUGCUGCAAAUGUCAUUGCUGCCUUCCUCACCCCUCCACCCCCAUGUGUGCUGGCUCAGUUUGUGGUACCGAGCCCCAGCCCUAGUCACACCUCAGCAUCAUGCUCGGAGUCCCCUGUAAUGUCCAUUUCCUCCCCCACAGACACUGGGCUGAUGACCUGCACAGUGGAUGUUUGCCGGGUUUACCUGCUUACACCUUGACCAUCUCUCAGGAACCAACACGUCUCCCUGCCCAAUAGGUGUCACAGUGGAUGCAUGACCCCAGCUCAUGGAUCAGCCCUUCUGUCUGCUGGCCAUGGUGGUCCUGUCAGAGAUGGGCACUCGUGUUAGUCCAGCCAGAGAGAAUCCUGAACUUGUGCAGGAACAACAAGGAAAGAGGGACCCUCCAUCCAACCUGGAGCCUGGAGCUGCUGAUGGCCACUGCCAGAGAGAAUCUGCCUGAGACAAGCCAGCAGGGAGCCAUGCAGGGCCAAAGGGUGGAGGAGACCAGGUCCUGAUGGCACCACUCGAACUCCUGGAUACAGCCUUACCUGAAGCCUCUGAACUCUUCAUAUACAGGAGCUAAACAAUUCCUCUUUUUCAUUCAAGCUGAUGUGCGCUGAAUAUCUAACACUUUCAAGUAAGAGUCCAGACUAAUACAUCCUCCUAAUUUCUCCCAUAUCCCACCAUAUCUAAGUUUUUCUCCCCACCCAAAAUGCCACUUCUCUGGGCCAAGGUCCUGUCACCACUUGUCUAGGUAUCACUAACAACCACCCAACUGGUCCCCUGGCCUCCAGUCGGCUUCGCAGUCCAUUCUCCAGGCCAGAGCACCCUACACAAAGUAAGACGCCAUGUGCCCUUCCCCAGAGCAGAGGCUCCCCAGCCAGGACAAAGGCUGAGCUGACAACAGGACUUUCCAGGGUCUUAUACUUGUCAGCAGGGCUGCAGGCGCCCCCAGCAGUGGGCUGCCCUUUCUUCCUGAAGGCUCCAAGCUCCCUCUCACCCGGGAGGACCAGCAGCUUCCCGGCGGGUCUAGAAGUCUCCUCUGUCUUAGACCCAGGAGCUCCCUCCAUAAUGCGCAGCUUCGGGCAUCGCACAGAUCUCAGGAGCUCAGCCUUGGCUCUCUGCUCCCUCUCUCUUCCCCCAGGCACAGAAAAAGCAACGAAGGACAGUGAGGCCGGCUGCGGAGAGCGGCCCCCUCAGCUGCAUGCCAGAUACUGUCACCAGUUCCCAGCCGCACGCUCCCUUUCAAGCCUCUUUGAUGAGCAGACAGUCAGGAGCUGGGAGCCAUUGCAACCCUAUUCCUAUCAACUAGCUUGAAAGACCCAGCCGGUCCAGAGAGCCUCAAAAAUCACAGCGCUAGUGAAUCUCUGAAAUAACGGAUAUUCCCACCUUCGCCUUCUGGAUUUCAUAGAGCCCCAAGCUUUCAUUUAAAAUCCAUUUUAUAUGAAGUUAUCUGAAAAUGAACAAUAGGAGCCUCAAAGAGACGUCUCCCCAGACGCCUGCGUGAAGGAUGCUGGAAGAGAUCCAGCCACAAAGUCAGCUUGCCUGUUAGAUCAAAUACGCAGGUCCCAGCGGGUCCCAUCUCCUCGUCCUCGACAGGAAAGGGCCUCCUCCUGACACGGAGGUGGGGACCACGUUUCUUAGCCCCUCAGGUUGCCAUUUCAUGUCCUAGGUGAGGCUUCCAGCAACAGAAUAGCUGGAACAGACUUCACUCAACUGAACAAGUAUCUGCCGAGGGCCUACUGUGUGCUAGGCACGGACCAGGGCCUGGAUCUGGAGGGGGAAUGAGACCUAGGCCUUAGACCACUCUCACCAGGAGUUCAGCACAUAGUAGGUCCUUCACAAAUACCCAAGAGAUACUCAUCUAGAGGGCCUGUUACUCAAGCCUGGUGGGGGUGGACAGAAAAGAGCAAUGCUAUUCACUUCCUUUAUAGUCAUUAGGAAUUGUUUAAAUUGUAACAUGGCAAAUGACAGAUUCUUGACUAUUUUCCAUCGAAGAGGCCUAAAUGGCUAUUCCAGGUGAGCUUUCUCCCUUAGUUUGCCACAUCGAUGACUAAGCGUAUCUAGAUCUUGGAUUUCUAUCUUCAUAGCUGUGUGACCACAGACAAGUGGCUUAACUUCUCUGAUUCUGUGUCUGCCUCUGCAAAAUAAGAAUGAUCAUCAUUCCUACCUCAUGGGGCUGUUGUGAGGUUGAAAUGCAGUGACACUUGGGAAAUACUUAUUAUAGUAAGUGCUUAAUAAACUUCAGCGAUCAUUCAUCAUCAUCAUCAUCAUCAUCAUCAGAGUGACAGCCAAGUGGCAUAUGCAGCAGGAAGGGAAAAUGAAGCUCUAUAAAGCAAUAGCCACAGAGCGGCUCCAGGGGCCAACUGGAGCCAUGGGGAGCCCUGAGGGUGGCCCAGAGCUCUAGGAUCGCAGUUCUGGUCCCCUGAGCCACCCCUGCAGCUCCUCUGUGCCGCUUCCCUACCCCUCCAGCAGUGACUCUCCCCAGGCUACAGUGGGGGCUGUGGACUGUGCCUGAUCCACCCGCCUCCCUGGGGUCUCACACGGCCCGGCACAGAGCAGCCACUCAGCAAAUGCUCGCAGAGUGAACCAAUGAGCUGCGGCUAAACCGGACCCAGUGCCAAGAAACAGCCGGGGCCGCAGGGGACCAGGAUCAAGCAAGUUAAGACAAAGCCCAUUUGAACAGAAGGAUCUUAAGAUCCUCCGCUGGGCACACGACCUUCUCCAGGGAAGGAAAGUUAGAUGAGGGUCCAGAGCGAAACAGUCUGCAAUCUGUUUUGUUGUAAGUGACAGAAACCCAUCAUAAACAAAACUGAAACGGGACUUGUUGGUUUCAGGGCUGGAGCUGGCCUCAGGGGCUGCAGACAUUCAAAUCAUCGCUGGAUCUCUCCUCUCCUCUCCUCUCCUCCCCUCUCCUCUCCUUCUCCUCCUUUCCCUCCUCCUCUCUCUCUCUCUCCUUCCCUCCCCUCCCCUCUCCACUCUGCACACCGCCCUCAGUUUUUCCUACAGCACCAGACUUCUUCCAUUCAGUAGGGGGAGCAGCAGCUGCAGGGGCAGGAAGAGAGGGGCCUUGGCCACAGACAGCUCUAAGCUUUCCUUGUCCCAGUCCAGGGACUGAAAAGGAGCUUUUGUCAUCUCAGCCUGGCGUCUGUCUGUAAAAUCCCCGAGAAGGACUCUGAUUGGCCCUGCUUGAGUCACAUGUCCUCUUGCCAGACCAAUCACCACAGCCAGGAGAAUGGCGUCUGGGGAUUGCCAGGCUGGCUGGGGUUGCGGCAGUGAAACAGCUGGUACCCCAGAACCAAGCACGGAAGGGGAUGGUCCGCGAAAGAUCUCGGGAGCACGGUCUUCCUCCUGUCUCUCAUGCAAUCUCAGCCCCGAACUCCUUGACGCCCCUGGCCAAACCUGAUGAGAAUAUCAGAGAACCUUGUCCAAGGGGCAGUGGGGAUGCAGGGGUCCCAUGCUGUGCCCAAAGCCGGAAGUCUACGUGUUGGACUGGACAGAGCUACUGAAACAUGCUAAGGCCCUCCCACCGAACUUGGAACAAAGUCCGCACCCCCCACCGUGACCUGCAAGGCCUGCUGGGCCCAGCCCCCAUGGGGCCUUCUCCUGCGCUGUCGCCAGGGACCGCCUGCUCGCAUGGCUCAGGUCCCUGCUCAGAUGCUACCUUCCCUGACCACCCUGUUAAGGGGACCCCCUGACCCCACACCAGCCUCUCUAUGUUUAUAUAGACUUGUCCCUGUCUGAAAAUCUCCUGGUUUACUUAUUUACUGGACUGGAAGCUUCCUGAGGCUGAAACUAGGCCAGUCUUGUCUCUGCUGGGUCCCAGAGCCCAGCCCAAGGCCCAGCACAGAGACAAGACUCAUGAAUGUUUGUUGGUUGAAUGAAUGAACGGCCGUUCUAAGUCAUCCUGCCUUAGGCCUCAACAGAUGGCAGACGGGAGGAGUCUGCCUGGUGCCACCUGGUGAGUGAAUGAGUGGAUGUUGUCAUCUUACAUAAAGGAUGCGGAAAUCAGCUUCCUCCUCCCUUCCUACCCAGUUAUCCAGUUGCCCUUCAAAACCCUCAGUCUGACCCUCCGUCCACAGAACCCGGGGCAGCCGGUCCUCCUCGAGCAGCAAAGGCCCUUCGCAUGGCCAGUACAGCUAAAUAAACUGUCUGUGGAAUAAUUGAUAAUUACUGCACUUGAGUUCCCAUUCAAGUUCAAUGUUUGUGACUAAAAGCUAUGUCCAAGCCCUUCAGAGGGGACACCUCCGUUCUCAGAGCAUCUGCAUUUCUAACCAGGCUCCUCCUCGAGCACGGAGCCCUCACUGCAGGAGCACAGAGUGAAAAGCCGCGGGCCCCUCUGCUUUCAAUUCUAACAGCCACCGGAAGUGGGAUCCUGGGCACCCAGCACCUUGAAUUACCAAGACUGGUGAGCCUCAGCCACACUUGGAAGGCAAAGUUGGUUCUGCUCUCUUGCAUUCCAACUGACUUUUCUUUUCAUCAGGGGUCAGACCUUCCUCCGAGCUGGCGCAAGAGAAGCUGGAGAGGAAGGGGAGAGAGGAGGAGCAGGAGGAAACACGCUGGGCCGGCUGCGGGCGCAGCAGGAGCCAUCCUCGAUCACCAGGCCGAAGGAGCACCGGCUCCCGAGGGAGGCUCCCGGGGUGCGGUGGAGGCGCUCGGCUUCUCUCUUCAACAAGACCUGGAGAAUGUUAAUUGUUACUGUAGGUGUGUGGCGUGCAGACUAUUUGUAAGUGAGAGAAGAGUUCUGUUGCUGUGACUAAAGAGAGCGCAAUGGGUGUGGAAGACUGGAACCCGUGAGUUCCUCAAGCUGAGGCUCGGUUAAACCAUCAAUGCUUUCCUGCCAAUUGGCGCUUGCAGCUCGAGCCUUCACGCCUUUGCACACAGUCGAGGUAAUAACCACCGUGCUGCGAAAAGGCAGCCGGCUGGCAGGGGCCGCUCGCUGCACAGAGCGUUCUUUGGUUCAAAAAAGAAAAAAAAUCAUAAAAUUAAAAAAAACUGUUUAAGCUUAAAAACUAAAAGGAAGCAGUUGGCUCCAGUUGUCGAAAUGUUUUAUAAAGCAACAGCAAGAUGAAAAAAAAUUAAGAAUAAAAAAUAAACUGUCCCAGAAUGCUGAGAGAGGGCCAAAAAUAUUAAUAUGCGGGAACAUGGCAAAGCUUCUGCAAGCUGUAAAUAUUCCCUUCGGUUCCCAUGUAUGAUCGGCAAGGAUGGUGGUCCUUUUCUCCCUCGGCUCUUCCUGUUUGAAAUCUACGACAAAUAACAUUUCUUCAAAAAAUAAAAUAAGUAUUAGGGGAAGAAAGUGUGUGUGUCAGAGGUCCCUGAAUUUCUUAUUUUAAAUAUUAUAGGGAGGGGCCUGCCCG
rnacentral:lncRNA from 1 species